GAACGCUGGCGGCGUGCCUAAUACCUGCAAGUCGAGCGAACGGACGAGAAGCUUGCUUCUCUGAUGUUAGCGGCGGACGGGUGAGUAACACGUGGAUAACCUACCUAUAAGACUGGGAUAACUUCGGGAAACCGGAGCUAAUACCGGAUGAUAUUUUGAACCGCAUGGUUCACAAGUGAAAGACGGUCUUGCUGUCACUUAUAGAUGGAUCCGCGCUGCAUUAGCUAGUUGGUAAGGUAACGGCUUACCAAGGCAACGAUGCAUAGCCAACCUGAGAGGGUGAUCGGCCACACUGGAACUGAGACACGGUCCAGACUCCUACGGGAGGCAGCAGUAGGGAAUCUUCCGCAAUGGGCGAAAGCCUGACGGAGCAACGCCGCGUGAGUGAUGAAGGUCUUCGGAUCGUAAAACUCUGUUAUUAGGGAAGAACAUAUGUGUAAGUAACUGUGCACAUCUUGACGGUACCUAAUCAGAAAGCCACGGCUAACUACGUG
rnacentral:rRNA from 1 species